CUGGCUCAGGACGAACGCUGGCGGCGUGCUUAACACAUGCAAGUCGAACGAGGCUUUUCAAGAAGCUUGCUUCUUGAAAGACCGAGUGGCAAACGGGUGAGUAACGCGUAAACAACCUGCCCUCAGGAUGGG
rnacentral:rRNA from 1 species